rnacentral:rRNA from 1 species
UGGGGAAUAUUGCACAAUGGGGGAAACCCUGAUGCAGCGACGCCGCGUGAACGAAGAAGGUAUUCGUAUCGUAAAGUUCUGUCCUAUGGGAAGAUAAUGACAGUACCAUAGAAGAAAGCUCCGGCUAAAUACGUGCCAGCAGCCGCGGUAAUACGUAUGGAGCGAGCGUUGUCCGGAAUUAUUGGGCGUAAAGGGUACGCAGGCGGUUUAAUAAGUCGAAUGUUAAAGAUCGGGGCUCAACCCCGCAAAGCAUUGGAAACUGAUAAACUUGAGUAGUGGAGAGGAAAGUGGAAUUCCUAGUGUAGUGGUGAAAUACGUAGAUAUUAGGAGGAAUACCAGUAGCGAAGGCGACUUUCUGGACACAAACUGACGCUGAGGUACGAAAGCGUGGGGGGCAAACAGG